CAGGCAUUCUGCCUUCAGGAAGGGGAGGGGAGCCUGGCCUGUUGAGAGCUUGCAACUUUGUAUCUGCUUGAGCAACCUCUCCAGUCGGUUAGAAUCAAAGGCUCAAAGAAGACAACCAAGGAUUCGGAAAGGGAUGAUGGAUGGAGACAGAGGAGACUAAAAGUCUCCCAUUUCCGAAUGGACAAGUCGGAAGCUGAAAGCUGGAAAGAAUUGAAUCAAGAAUUAAGAAGAAAUGAGUUGUCAAGUCGUGAAAAGAACCUCACAUGGGGGUUAACUCAAGAAGCAGGAUGGACGAAAAGGCUACGUACUAUUGUAUUCCAAGUAGAGGACAUAAUGAAGACAGCAAAAAGAUCGGUGGUCCUGGAGUUGACUGAUAACAUCAGGAAACCUCUGGGUGGGACCUUGGAGCACACUGGCCAUUUUGCCACAUUCCUCCUUAAUCACGACCCGGAUGUUCCCAUCUGCCUCUCCCUGUGAAGACGUUGGUAGGCUCGGUACAGUCCAUGAUGGAUGCUCCUGGCGUUUGGAAAGCUUUGCCUCCAAAGCUUUUUCAUCUGUGUUCCUCAAGGCGGUGGCCUCUUGGGUAGAGAGAAGUGGGCUAAAGAGUCUAUUCUCAUUCAUUAUCUAUGACAUAUGGCUUUCUCACAAGUGCACCGUUCUUACAUUUAAAGGGCAAUGGCCGGAAAACAGGGGGAGGGGCGUGGAUGAGGUAAGAGUGAGUUCCUUAACCACUGAAGUCCAGGCAGACUCUGGGGUUUCACACAGCACCUCACCUAACCCUUCAGCAGCCCUUCCUCACACCCCCACUUCACAGAUGAGGAAACACAGCCUCCCAAAGUCUAAAAAGGUUCACCAAGUCCCUGCCUCUAAGUCCACUGCAGACGGUCAGGUUGAUUUGUGCAGCAGGAACAUUACUAAGUCUAUGCUGAGUUGGUCGCCCAGAGGUGAACCCUUUUUGAGAGGCUUUGCUUUUUGGCUCUUAAGCAUGUUAGGGUUUGAGCUCAGUGGGGGACUCAAGCACCUUGUAUGACUUCAUUUCUUCCCCUUGGGGCUGCUUUCUUUCAGCUUGGGCCUGGGUCUCCUCACUCAGCACCCGCCUCUCCCUCAGAGAGCUGGGCUAGCAGGUAUAGGUUUGAGUUCUCCAGGCUUAGGGCAGUGUGGUCUCUCCGUCCCCUUGGCUGAAAGGACAUGCUUUUGUUUGUUUGUUUGUUUGUUCUCUCUAGAUAUAGUCCAGCCUUCCUCCUCUCUCUUGGCCUUGCUGAAGUCUGAUGAGGUCUGUCGCUUUCCCAGCCUCAGUGUCUCUAUCUGUGAGCCGGGCCUCAGGGCUCUAUUAGGAGGCUACACUCCGUGCCCUCCCACAUCCUGGCCCUGCAGAAAAUAAGCCACCUGCCGAGGAUAUUUUCAGAUACAGCUUAAUUGAAUAAAUCAUGACAGGAAAGAGACCGCCUGGUGACAGUUCCCCUGGCUUCUUGGAAGGCCUGGAGCUGGUUUCUGAGAGAGCAGAGGAUGUUGCAAGCUCUGUGCUGGGCCCCUCCCUCUCUGCCCGGCCAAACUGAGCUCCAGACCCAGGCUUCUCUCUCUCCCCAGAAAAAGCCCUGCUGCAGGAGACUGUCCCCAUUUCCUUCUACCUCUGAGCAGCGCUGGGCUUCUUUUGCAUCUAUGUAUGUUGAUCAGGUGCCAGUUUUUAAAGAACACCAGUUGGGUUCCUGCCUGGAAUAGGGUGGGUUAGAGGCCCCGGGGAGAUGAGCAGGGCACAGUCAGCUCUUCGCUGUGAGCUGUUCAUCGUCUUUAACCGACUUUAAGGCAGGAACACACUUGUGAAGGAAAGUAUGUACCUGUGAUAAGAUCAGUGUCUGCUGCUGGGGACUGGGAACCUCAGGGCCAGCUGGGGAGAUGAGAGAGCUUUGCUAAGCUGCUUCUCUGCUCCCAUUCCCUUCUUCUUUGUUGGCCUUUCUCAAAUAGGCUCUCAGGUACUAGUGUCUAUAUCAGGAACCAGCGCACAGAAAUGUUCUCAUUUUAGUUCACAAGCUCACAUAUGCAAGAGCUAAUUCUCUUUGAUAUCCUUUCUCUCUCUCUCUCUCUCUCUGUCACACAUACACACACACACACAAAGCCUCAUGUCAUAUAUUCCAGGCCUAUUUGGGACUCACCAUGCAGCCAAGAAUGGCCUUGAUUUUCUGACCUUCCCUUUUAAAUACUGAGAUUACAGGUGUGAGUGUACAGGGGAUUCCACUAGCCUGCCCCCAAGGGACCUAGUUAUCACUUCUGUCAUCAUCUGCCACCUGCCAGGUGCCUGCGGUUGGAUAAAAGGACCCCACACCCACCCUCAGCUCUCUAUUUGUCCUCAGCGUCCCCCCUCUCCCUCUCUGCCUCCCUUUUCUCUGCCCUCGUGACUGCUCCCGUUUGUCUGCCGGUCUACAUACCCACUCGCCUGACUCUACCCCUUCCUUGGGUCCUCUUUCCUCCCUCCUUCCCCUAGUAAACCCCUUUUAUACCAGGUCUGUUGCAUGGUGUAAUUUUUCAGGGGCAUACCUUGGCAUGGGCCCACUGUGGUACCCCUUGCUGCUUUAUAUUUCAUAACAACAGAUCUGUGCUAAUAUGCCUGGUGUAUAUGGUGCUUGGGUUGAACUAGGGCUUCGUGGGUACCAGGCAAGUACUUUUCAGUUAAACUGUGUCCACUGUCCCUAUUACCAUUGUUUUAAAGCUAUAUGGGAAGUGUUUGGAAACAAUAGUGAAAACCUGACUAGGCGAGUGGAGGCAGGUGGAUCGGGACUUCAAGGCCAUCCUCAGCUACGUGCUAGCCCCACCUCAGAUAAGCCUGUGUGGCUCUAAAAGCCUGAUAAGAAUUCUUUCUUCUUUCCCUUCUUUCUUUCAAGUGGGUGUGUGUGCACAUGAGUACACUACACUACAAGUUGGUUUUCUUUUCCUACCAUGAAUUACAG
rnacentral:lncRNA from 1 species